UUACGGUCACAUCAAGGUUGAAACCCCGGUUCCCGUAAUGUCACAGAAGUUAAGCAACAUCGAACUUGGUUAGUAUCUAGAUAGGUGACCGCUUGAGAAUAUAAAGAGUUGUAAG